AUAACUCCUAAGCAGUCUUACAUGCGGGACACAUGGAGACUCUCGAAGAUGCCUUCGAGAAUCAGACCAUCAACAAGUCCAAGCCAAUCCCUCUGACCCCAGUGGAGCGCCUCUUAUUUAAAUGUUUUUGCAAUAUGUGUUUUGAGUUUUCAAGUUGACCCCCUUUUUUUUUGCCUUAUUUUGUGUGUACUUUGGCUUUAUAAAACCUUUAAAUCGGUUCAGUUUAAGAAAUGUCAAACACAUCAUACGUUUUUUUUUCUUUUAUUUAAAUGUUUUCUUUCAAGUUGACCCCCUUUUUUUUUUUUGCCUUAUUUUGUGUGUACUUUGGCUUUAUAAAACCUUUAAAUCGGUUCAGUUUAAGAAAUGUC
rnacentral:lncRNA from 1 species